CAUAGGCCACGCCCACUUGAUACAAACCAACGCGGGAGUGAGAUUGGAGGUUAGAGACAUAGGCGGACCCGCAGAGAGCCUUGGGCCUAUGCCCCGGGGCUCGAAGUAGCUUCAGUAUCUCUCUCCACGCGUGUUAGAUACAAUUCCCUCCCUUUUGCUUCAUAGUUACCAUGCCCAAUACUUUAACAAAUAAAGUGAGUUAAAAGCGACCCGGAUUGCACUACUUUCUUCAGAAACGCGACAAUCACGCGCAAUUUGAAUCCAGCCUAUGGGCCACAUUUCCCCCUUCAGCCACAACGGAGACCAGCCCAUUUACUGAUAAACGUUUGGUGGCAGUAAUGUGGAGUUGUAAAAGCGGCAAAGAAACUGUAUCAAUUCAACGCUGAGUUCAAGAGAAUUACCACCGUCCCACUUCAAUCCAGGUUCCUGUCUCAGCUGGACGUUCACUCUGAUAAACUGACGAGGCUGUUCCAAAGGAGAGGAGGACAUCUAGGGCAAAAGCGCAAUAAUGGCAGAUUGUGAUGAUGUCGAUGUUGGACGAGAGUGCAUUAUCAAGGGAGUCUGCAUCUACAUGGGUGAAAAUCCAGAAAACCUUGUGCACGAUUACGCGGGCAUGGAUGGAGACGCCUUCAAUGCUGCUAUUGAAAAAACGGGAUUUAUAAAAGAGAAUGAGGCAAGUGAGGAAUCUGAGGACAUUGGAGUUGUCCUCGAAGGCAUCAGGUUGUUAAGAGAUUUAGACAAUAUAUCAUUAGCGGUUGCUAUGCUUUUUGGACUGAUGUACGCACUGAACAUCAGCUACCCCGCCGACCUCCGGUACACCUUUGAGGUAGUACAGAAGAUACUCGCGCUGAAAAACCGUCUCUUCCAAUGAACGGGUCAAACACAGCGCUGCCUCUCGGUAAACCUCAGAUGAUCACUGGCCUUAAUUUGUGUUAUUCAUUUCUGUUCCUUAUUUGGUGUAUAAACAUGUGUUGCUCUAGGUAUUCUAGGUUUCUAUUGAUAGUGAUACGUUUAUUUUUUGUGUGUUGAGCCACUGCUGUGAUAGUAUCCAGUUUGUGUGUUCAGCCACUGCUGUUGAUGGUAUCCAGUUUGUGUGUUCAGCCACUGCUGUUGAUGGUAUACAGUUUGUGUGUUCAGCCAGUGCUGUUGAUGGUAUCCAGUUUGUGUGUUCAGCCAGUGCUGUUGAUGGUUAUCCUGUUUAGUGGAAGAGGCAAUGUGCUUGUUACUAUGUGAAUGGAUCUGCACUCCAUAUUUUGUACGGAAGCAAGUGUAUGUUUGUGAAUUACCAUAAUGUAUAGCUGUUGGCUAAUGACAUGUUGCAACACAAAGGGAGAGCGGUAAAAAAAAUGGGCCAGAAAUUCCCAGUAUAUUGCCUUAUGUUCAGUCAGGGCCACUUCUGAUAACUUUGACUGUUCUAGGCAAAUACAUUUUUAUAUUGAGACAGCGAAAACAGUAAAUGUGGUAUUUGACAGUGAAUCUGCUGCUGUUGAUGCAGGGUAUCCAGUUUGAAUUUUGAUUCAUCUUACAUCUGUUUACGGCAACUGCACAGAUUUGUCUGUUUUCCUGAAUGUUUUAAAGCUCAAUACAGAAAAUUUGAGUACAAAUGACUGACUUUUUCUCCUGUAUUUUGUAUUUCCA
ensembl:lncRNA